AUUGAACGCUGGCGGCAGGCCUAACACAUGCAAGUCGAACGCCCCGCAAGGGGAGUGGCCGACGGGUGAGUAACGCGUGGGAAUCUACCCAUCCCUACGGAACAACUCCGGGAAACUGGAGCUAAUACCGUAUACGCCCUACGGGGGAAAGAUUUAUCGGGGAUGGAUGAGCCCGCGUUGGAUUAGCUAGUUGGUGGGGUAAGGCCUACCAAGGCGACGAUCCAUAGCUGGUCUGAGAGGAUGAUCAGCCACAAUGGGACUGAGACACGGCCCAAACUCCUACGGGAGGCAGCAGUGUGGAAUAUUGGACAGUGGGCGCAAUCCUGAUCCAGCCAUGCCGCUUGAGUGAUGAAGGUCUGAGGAUUGUAAAGCUCUUUCACCGAGGAAGAGAAUGACGGUAGUCGGAGAAGAAGCCCCGGCUAACUUCGUGCCAGCCGCCGCCGUAA
rnacentral:rRNA from 1 species